rfam:Triticum aestivum genome assembly, contig: Triticum_aestivum_CS42_TGACv1_scaffold_406424_5BL
AAUGUAUUCUCACCGUCUCAAAAUUCUUGUCUUAGAUUUGUUUAGAUACGGAUGUGUCUAACACUAAACCAUGACUAGGUACAUCAGUAUCUGAACAAAUCUAAGACAAGAAUUUUGAAACGAAUGUAAUAUGUG